GUAUGAGAGGGUGAUCUGGCUCCAACAUCUGUCACCCCAUUGAUAACCAAGGUUGAUUUAGCUGAUCUGGCUGGCUAGGUGGGUGUCCCCUUCCUCCCUCACCACUCCUGCUGCCCUCCCGAAGCUGCCACUUGGUCUAAGAGGAUGGCUUUCCCUAGAAUAGAGACAGACCAGUCUUCUGUUGAGAGUAUACAAGUAGCUCAGUUCCCCUGCUAGAACCUCCAAACAAGAUCUCAAUGUCCUUAAAACUGUCUAACAGAAAACAUUGGGAAAAUUUUCAUACAGUGUUAUAAAGAGAAUGAGAUGGAGUAGCAUGUUCUAGUGU
rnacentral:snRNA from 1 species